CAAUAGCGUAUAUUAAAGUUGUUGCAGUUAAAAAGCUCGUAGUUGGAUUUCGGGGUGGCCUGCCUGGUCCACCGCAAGGUGAGUACUGGUCAGCCGCCCUUCCUCUCGAAAGCCCCGACUGCUCUUCAUUGCAGUGGUCGGGUAGUUCGGGACGUUUACUUUGAAAAAAUUAGAGUGUUCAAGGCAGGCUCUCGCCUGAAUACAUUAGCAUGGAAUAAUGGAAGAGGACCUCGGUCCUAUUUUGUUGGUUUCUAGGGCCGAAGUAAUGAUUAAGAGGGGCAGUUGGGGGCAUUCGUAUUUAAUUGUCAGAGGUGAAAUUCUUGGAUUUAUGAAAGACGAACUAGUGCGAAAGCAUUUGCCAAGGAUGUUUUCAUUAA
rnacentral:rRNA from 1 species